AGUGGUCAGUAUCCCUGCC
rnacentral:misc_RNA from 1 species